CUAUAUGUACCUGAUGUUGGCAUACUGUACGUUGUGUGGAAAAUGUCCAGAUCAAAUAGAAUGUUUUUGUAAAGAUGAAAUGUGAAGUUAGUUGUCUAAAUUGGAUCUGAGUAAAAAUCCAGACCUUGUCUCGUAACUAGCGACGUCCAGAGUGUAACUGACAGUUAGACUUACAGGUUAUGUCGUUGUCUUUUGUUUGAAUUGUUUACGUGUCUGCUGAGCGGGGGAAAUGAUAAUACAAGCGGAACUACGUAGCUAAUACUGUUGUAACGGGGAUCCUUAUUGUAGCAACACACUUUUGGAGGGAAGGCAAUCCUGCGCUGCGUUAGCUAAGUUUUCAUGUCAUCGGGUGUAGUUCAUAAAGGUUGAAGAGUGUAUGUUAGGAUGAAGUGUGAAUUCAUGCCAGGAAUAAUAAGUGUGAAGUUUGAUUUCCUCCCUUCUGUAAUAAGCAGCCAAUGAGUUCUCAUGGAAGGUGAUAAUUCUGACUAAAACUACAGAAUAAAGUCCCCAGUUAAAAUCAAGGAACGGUUGUGCUCGUGGUUACUGAAGGGAGCUACACAGAGAACUUGCCAUAAAGACGGAAACACCUCUUUCUGACCUGAGGGUAUAAAACAUGUAAGUUAAGAAUUAACAUAUCAGACUAGGAGCUGCAGCCAAGGUCCGAGGUAGUCGCAAACCCAAAACGCAACACAAUGUUGAAGAAGAUAAAAUAACCUUUUAACAAUCUAUGCUAAAGAUGAGCAGCUGUGUCUAAGAGGAUGAAUUCAAGCAGGAACUUUCCAAGGAAUUGUGUGUCUACACUGCUUUCAUUCCUACUCUGGAGCCCUGAGCUGCACGGCUGACUGUACUCAGAAGACCCCCUUUCAGAACAAGGGCGAGGAAACAGACCACUAAGAGAAAGGACACUGACAUCGUGUGGACAAUCAGAGAGUUACACCCAGUAACAACAGGUGCCGCCAUCAGAGGAGAAGGAGGAACUCGGUCCACGAGGAGAUAUCCCAAUCGGAGACCUUCGACAAGUAAUUACAUCAUUAUAUUCUGAUCCAUAAGAGCGGCAGUUUGGGCCAAGGUUAGGGCUAAACUAAGCAUAGUUAAAAAAUGUACCCAAGUGUGCUUUUCUCUCUUUUUAAAUCCCCAUUUUGUGUAACACGUGUCAUAUUGUGUUGGCCCAUUAGGGACCUGUUUCAUUGUACUAAGUUCUAAUCAAUAGCCUAGACUGUGUUUGUGUAUCUUACACUAUCAUUUUAGCUUGUUUGUGUUACAUUUUUUUAAAUUAUUUUUUUUAUUAUAAUUGUCUGCAUCAUUUCCAAGCCCCCAUAUUUUGGGGGUAAAUGUAUAUAUCCAUACACGCAUGCAUACAUAUACACAUAUAUACACAUACCUAUAUAGACAUAUACUUUUUUAAAAGAUGAUAACUUUAUUAUUAUUCCCCGCAAACCCUACCGCCAAUCCCCCAAUUGGAGUAAACCAAUAAACACUUCUGCUUUUACCUUCAAUUUAUACAUCUUAUACACAUUUUACAGACACGGUCUACUUUACAAUAGUUCUCUCUUGUUUGUUCUUAGUCCUUCCUCUAUUUCUGAUGUCCAUCCAGUUUGAUUUCCAUUUGUAACUAUGCUAUUUCACAAAAGUUCCGAACCUAUAUACAUUUUACAAAUCCCAUAUGCUUUACAUUGUUUAUCUUGUUAUUAGUCCCACCCUUCAGCUCCAUUCAACCCCUCCCAUCUAUCUCUCAACAUCAGCCAUUUCGGAUUUCUAUUUGCCAUAUAUUCUUCAACUGUGCUGUGAUGCUUCACAAAAUAAUUGAACCUUUCUAUAUUCUCAUAGCUUCUACAGAUUGUAAAUUAAAAAAUAUAUUUGAGAGAGGCCUGUAAUUUUCAUCAUAGGUACACUUCAACUAUGAAGAAAAAAUCCAGAAAAUCACGUUGUAGGAUUUUUAAUGAAUUUAUUUGCAAAUUAUGGUGGAAAAUAAGUAUUUGGUCAAUAACAAAAGUUUAUCUCAAUACUUUGUUAUAUACCCUUUGUUGGCAAUGACAGAGGUCAAACGUUUUCUGUAAGUCUUCACAAGGUUUUCACACACUGUUGCUGGUAUUUUGGCCCAUUCCUCCAUGCAGAUCUCCUCUAGAGCAGUGAUGUUUUGGGGCUGUUGCUGGGCAACACGGACUUUCAUCUUUCUCCAAAGAUUUUCUAUGGGGUUGAGAUCUGGAGACUGGCUAGGCCACUCCAGGACCUUGAAAUGCUUUUUGCGAAGCCACUCCUUCAUUGCCCGGGAAAGACCCGGCCACGUUUCAUCUUCAAUGCCCUUGCUGACGGAAGGAGGUUUUCACUCAAAAUCUCACGAUACAUGGCCCCAUUCAUUCUUUCCUUUACACGGAUCAGUCAUCCUGGUCCCUUUGCAGAAAAACUGUCCCAAAGCAGGAUGUUUCCACUCCCAUGCUUCACAGUAGGUAUGGUGUUCUUUGGAUGCAACUCAGCAUUCUUUGUCCUCCAAACACGACGAGUUGAGUUUUUACCAAAAAGUUAUAUUUUGGUUUCAUCUGACCAUAUGACAUUCUCCCAAUCUUCUUCUGGAUCAUCCAAAUGCUCUCUAGCAAACUUCAGACGGGCCUGGACAGGUACUGGCUAAAGCAGGGGAACACGUCUGGCACUGCAGGAUUUGAGUCCCUGGCGGCGUAGUGUGUUACUGAUGGUAGGCCUUGUUACUUUGGUCCCAGCUCUCUGCAGGUCAUUCACUAGGUUCCCACGUGUGGUUCUGGGAUUUUUGCUCACAGUUCUUGUGAUCAUUUUUUACCCCACGGGGUGAGAUCUUGCGUGGAGCCCCAGAUCGGGGGAGAUUAUCAGUGGUCUUGUAUGUCUUCCAUUUCCUAAUAAAUUGCUCCCACAGUUGAUUUCUUCAAACCAAGCUGCUUACCUAUUGCAGAUUCAGACUUCCCAGCCUGGUGCAGGUCUACAAUUUUGUUUCUGGUGUCCUUUGACAGCUCUUUGGUCUUGGCCAUAGUGGAGUUUGGAGUGUGACUGUUUGAGUUUGUGGACAGGUGUCUUUUAUACUGAUAACAAGUUCAAACAGGUGCCAUUGAUACAGGUAAUGAGUGGAGGACAGAGGAGCCUCUUAAAGAAGAAGCUACAGGUCUGUGAGAGACAGAAAUCUUGCUUGUUUGUAGGUGACCAAAUACUUAUUGUCCACCAUAAUUUGCAAAUAAAUUCAUUAAAAAUCCUACAAUGUGAUUUUCUGGAAUUGUUUUUUCAAAUUUUGUCUGUCAUAGUUGAAGUGUACCUACAUUUCAGGCCUCUCUCAUCUUUCUAAGUGGGAGAACUUGCACAAUUCGGUGGCUGACUAAAUACUUUUUGCCCCACUGUAUGGACAAUAGCAAAAAAAAUGAUCUAAUGACUCUGCCUCCUCACAGCAGAAUCCGCAGAGCUGGGAAGAUUGUAUCCCCCAUAUAUAUAUAGCUCAGUUGGUAGAGCAUGGCGCUUGUAACGCCAGGGUAGUGGGUUCGAUUCCCGGGACCACCCAUACGUAGAAUGUAUGCACACAUGACUGUAAGUCACUUUGGAUAAAAGCGUCUGCUAAAUGGCAUAUUAUUUAUUAUUAUUAUAUACCACGGCUGUCAGAUAUGUUUUAUGCAGCCAGAUAUGUUGGUCUGAUACCAUAGCUGUCAGACAUUCAGGGUUCGAACCACCCAGCUCAUAAAGCAGAUUGUAUGAGGACCUUAAUAACUGAUGUUCCCAAAACCUUUUUCAAUUAAUCACAAUCUGCAUUGAAUAUCAAAUCAGAAGAUGGAGCUUACAGAGAGGGCUGUCCCGCUUCUAGUUCUUAGGGAACUUUUCUGUAUUUUUUUUUUCUGUAUUAUUCCUUACAUUGUUAGCCUAAAAAAUGUUAUUACAUACAGCCAGGAAGAACUAUUGGAUAUCAGAGCGGCGGUAAUUCACCAGCACUACGACCAGGAAUACAACUUUACCGAAGCGGAUCCUCUGUUCGCACCACCCAGGGCAAUUGAACUGAUUCCAGAGGCUGACCCAAGACAACGCCGACAAAAAAGGGGCAAGUCGCUUUGGAUAAAAGCGUCUGCUAAAUGGCAUAUAUAUAUAUAACAUUCUAUUAGUUGCAAUAAUUUUGUAUAGUAAUUUAUAUUGAAAAAUUAGAAGUUUUGAAUCCUUUGUUGUUUUGCGUAUCAAUUCAUAAACCAUGUACCAUGGAAUGGGUACAUUGAAAAUCUCUUCCCAACUAUUUUGCAAUUUAUAUGGCACAGCUGUCAGUUUUUAUUUCUCACACUUUUCUUUAACCAUUUAUGUUCUUUAAUACAGGGUCGACAUACAAGUUCCUUACUUUUUUACCCCUCUACUUGCCUCUUCCAUUUUUGUGGUAAUGCUGCAAUUAAUAGGUUGUAAUUUUGGGUAGAGCAGACAUUUCCAUAUGUCUGUGUUAGCUGCAUGUGUGACAUAACUCCACCACUAUCAUUCACUAAAAUAAUACCUUUUUUAAACAUUUCUUCGAUAAAUACAGUUUUUUUUAUCAAUUAGUAUAUUUGAAUUUAACCACAAUAUUUGUUGUACUAUUUGUUCCGUCCUUUCAGGUGGAUUAAACUGAAAUUGCAACCAA